rnacentral:lncRNA from 1 species
AUGUAAAUGACCAAGGAGGGCAAUAUUGAAAAAGAGGUCCAUGACGCCCAUUUCUGGACCAGCCCGAACAUCAGGCGGCCGGAAAAAGGCUCGGAUGGCCGAGGAGUAGGGCUGUCAGCGACACGGUGAGAGUGACGCGGACCAAAAAUUUAGCUGCGUGGGUGGAGAAUCGCGGUGAGGUUGGCCUUAUAGUAGCACCAACCAUCCAAAGAUAUAUCAGGAAGAGGCCAAGAGUGAAGGUGACAAAAUUGAUCACGAGGUGCGUCUCCGUCGACAAGUGAAGAUGGUGGCCAACAAGAUCCACUGGUGUGGUGGCGAGUAGAAAACAGCCAGCGCCAACGGAGAUGGCAAAGGUGCCGACUGUGAUGAGGUUUGGAUCAUGGACCCGGCGGGCUCGGGCUGCUCCAGGGUUGUGCACCAUGGGGCUCGAAUGAAGAUAAAAAAAAGAGGGAGGAGGGGAGAAGGGUUUGAGGAAGGAAAGGACCAGUG